GGAAAUGAUGAGACAAUUCUGGAAUCUCGUUCGUCUGAGCUGCUGAUGAGAAGCGGAAGGCUGACAUCA